rnacentral:rRNA from 1 species
AGGAGACACACGGCGGGGGCUAACGUCCGUCGUGGAGAGGGAAACAACCCAGACCGCCAGCUAAGGUCCCAAAGUCAUGGUUAAGUGGGAAACGAUGUGGGAAGGCCCAGACAGCCAGGAUGUUGGCUUAGAAGCAGCCAUCAUUUAAAGAAAGCGUAAUAGCUCACUAGUCGAGUCGGCCUGCGCGGAAGAUGUAACGGGGCUAAACCAUGCACCGAAGCUGCGGCAGCGACACUAUGUGUUGUUGGGUAGGGGAGCGUUCUGUAAGCCUGUGAAGGUGGCCUGUGAGGGUUGCUGGAGGUAUCAGAAGUGCGAAUGCUGACAUAAGUAACGAUAAAGCGGGUGAAAAGCCCGCUCGCCGGAAGACCAAGGGUUCCUGUCCAACGUUAAUCGGGGCAGGGUGAGUCGACCCCUAAGGCGAGGCCGAAAGGCGUAGUCGAUGGGAAACAGGUUAAUAUUCCUGUACUUGGUGUUACUGCGAAGGGGGGACGGAGAAGGCUAUGUUGGCCGGGCGACGGUUGUCCCGGUUUAAGCGUGUAGGCUGGUUUUCCAGGCAAAUCCGGAAAACCAAGGCUGAGGCGUGAUGACGAGGCACUACGGUGCUGAAGCGACAAAUGCCCUGCUUCCAGGAAAAGCCUCUAAGCAUCAGGUAACAUCAAAUCGUACCCCAAACCGACACAGGUGGUCAGGUAGAGAAUACCAAGGCGCUUGAGAGAACUCGGGUGAAGGAACUAGGCAAAAUGGUGCCGUAACUUCGGGAGAAGGCACGCUGAUAUGUAGGUGAAGCGACUUGCUCGUGGAGCUGAAAUCAGUCGAAGAUACCAGCUGGCUGCAACUGUUUAUUAAAAACACAGCACUGUGCAAACACGAAAGUGGACGUAUACGGUGUGACGCCUGCCCGGUGCCGGAAGGUUAAUUGAUGGGGUUAGCGGCAACGCGAAGCUCUUGAUCGAAGCCCCGGUAAACGGCGGCCGUAACUAUAACGGUCCUAAGGUAGCGAAAUUCCUUGUCGGGUAAGUUCCGACCUGCACGAAUGGCGUAAUGAUGGCCAGGCUGUCUCCACCCGAGACUCAGUGAAAUUGAACUCGCUGUGAAGAUGCAGUGUACCCGCGGCAAGACGGAAAGACCCCGUGAACCUUUACUAUAGCUUGACACUGAACAUUGAGCCUUGAUGUGUAGGAUAGGUGGGAGGCUUUGAAGUGUGGACGCCAGUCUGCAUGGAGCCGACCUUGAAAUACCACCCUUUAAUGUUUGAUGUUCUAACGUUGGCCCGUAAUCCGGGUUGCGGACAGUGUCUGGUGGGUAGUUUGACUGGGGCGGUCUCCUCCUAAAGAGUAACGGAGGAGCACGAAGGUUGGCUAAUCCUGGUCGGACAUCAGGAGGUUAGUGCAAUGGCAUAAGCCAGCUUGACUGCGAGCGUGACGGCGCGAGCAGGUGCGAAAGCAGGUCAUAGUGAUCCGGUGGUUCUGAAUGGAAGGGCCAUCGCUCAACGGAUAAAAGGUACUCCGGGGAUAACAGGCUGAUACCGCCCAAGAGUUCAUAUCGACGGCGGUGUUUGGCACCUCGAUGUCGGCUCAUCACAUCCUGGGGCUGAAGUAGGUCCCAAGGGUAUGGCUGUUCGCC